rnacentral:rRNA from 1 species
GACGAACGCUGGCGGCAUGCCUAAUACAUGCAAGUCGAACGCGGCCAUCCGGUGCUUGCACUGGUGAAGCCGAGUGGCGAACGGGUGAGUAACACGUGAGAAACCUGCCCUGGAGUGGGGAAUAACUCGAAGAAAUUCGAGCUAAUACCGCAUACCUUCUCUUCACCGCAUGGUGAGUUGAAGAAAGAUUUAUCGCUCUAGGAGGGUCUCGCGGCCUAUCAGCUAGUUGGUGAGGUAAUGGCUCACCAAGGCAUCGACGGGUAGCUGGUCUGAGAGGACGAUCAGCCACACUGGGACUGAGACACGGCCCAGACUCCUACGGGAGGCAGCAGUAGGGAAUCUUGCGCAAUGGGCGAAAGCCUGACGCAGCAAUGCCGCGUGCGGGACGAAGGCCCUAGGGUCGUAAACCGCUUUCAGUAGGGACGAAAAUGACGGUACCUGCAGAAGAAGCUCCGGCCAACUACGUGCCAGCAGCCGCGGUAAU